UGUGCCGCGCGUGUCGUGUCGAAUGUACGCGGUUUGCAUAUCAAUACUUUUCGCACGCGUGCGCACCUCUAUCUCGGAUCUAAAUUCGAAGCCGGCUGAGUGAAUGGCAGACGACCGCGGGAGGAGCAAACAACGCGCGAUCCAGCCAAACGAGAAGGCACGCCACGCGUGCCGGCGGCUUCCGUCAGAAUUCGCGCGAAACUUGAGACGCCGGCGACCAAACGGGCUAUUUUAACGCGGGCGAACCUCCCCGCGAGCUCAUCAGUCGAAGGUCACGCUCGACGAGGAGUAAAAAGAAGAAAAAGAAAGAAAAAAAAAAAAGAAAGCGGGAGGAAAGAAGCUGAACGUGACCGAGGAUGAAAGAGAAGACUGGAGUUAUACAGGGUGUUCCUAAAAAUCGUGGUAACCAACUGGCCAAGAUGUGAUUCUACGUGAGAAAAUAAGUCGAAGGAAAUUGUUUAUUCGUUAAUUAUAUUACUUGGAUUUAGUUGAUUCUGGACGUGACUGAAAAGAAUAAUUAACAGCGCGAAAGUAAGUAAAACAUGUACCACGAUUUCGGGAGCAUAUUUGAAUAACGAUGAAGAAUUGUCAAUAAACUUUGUGAAAAACAAAAUCACUCAGUUCGUUCUUCUUUUUUUCUUAAAGAUGUUUUCUACAUCAUGUAAGUGACAAGAAAAAAUUGGUAUAAAUUGGCCGAAAUAACUAUAAGGUUGCGAAUAACUCUUCCUGAUAUCGAUUUCAAACGAUAUAAAUAUCUUACUAAGUGAGUCAAGUGACAUACAAAUGGUCUUCCGCAAUCCGAAGAAAAGGAAAUUACAAAUUGGCCUCGCUGCUUUGAAUUCACAACGCCGACUCAAGUACAAUAGUACUUUCAGCUAUUUCUAACAUACGGAAAUAUCAUCUUCACCAUAGAUUCUACAAGAUUUUUGGAUAGAAUUCCAAAGAAAAGGAUCUACAACUGCUUAUUGUUAACUCUAUUAUAUUGUAGAUUUUUCUAGCAGUAUAACUCAAAUAGACGUCGAUAAAAAUUGUAAAAGUAAACUGGUAUUCCACUCUGCAUAUUUUCUAUAAUCUAAAUUCUACAAGAUUUUUGGAUAGAAUUCCAAAGAACAGCAUCUACAACUGCUUAUUGUUAGCUCUAUUAUAUUGUAGAUUUUUCUGGGAGUAUAACUCAAAUAGACGUUGAUAAAAAUUGUAAAAGUAAACUGGUAUUCCACUCUGCAUAUUUUCUAUAAUCUAAAUUCUACAAGAUUUUUGGAUAGAAUUCCAAAGAACAGGAUCUACAACUGCUUAUUGUUAGCUCUAUUAUAUUGUAGAUUUUUCUAGGAGUAUAAUUCAAAUAGACGUCGAUAAAAAUUGUAAAAGUAAACUGGUAUUCCACUCUGCAUAUUUUCUAUGAUCUGGAUUCUAAAAGAUUUUUGGAUAGAAUUCCAAAGAACAGGAUCUACAACUGCUUAUUAUUAGCUCUAUUAUAUUGUAGAUUUUUCUAGGAGUAUAACUCAAAUAGACGUUGAUAAAAAUUGUAAAAGUAAACUGGUAUUCCACUCUGCAUAUUUUCCAU